rnacentral:rRNA from 1 species
CUGGAGACAGGUGCUGCAUGGCUGUCGUCAGCUCGUGUCGUGAGAUGUUGGGUUAAGUCCCGCAACGAGCGCAACCCUUGCCUUAGUUGCCAGCAGUUCGGCUGGGCACUCUAAAGGGACUGCCGGUGUUAAACCGGAGGAAGGUGGGGAUGACGUCAAGUCCUCAUGGCCUUUAUGACCAGGGCUACACACGUACUACAAUGGCCGAUACAAAGGGCAGCGACACUGCGAGGUGAAGCCAAUCCCGUAAAAUCGGUCUCAGUCCGGAUUGGAGUCUGCAACUCGACUCCAUGAAGUUGGAAUCGCUAGUAAUCGUGGAUCAGCAUGCCACGGUGAAUACGUUCCCGGGCCUU